GGUAGAGGCAGAGCUGCGCGGCUGAGGUGCGCAGUGCCCAGGGAGAGCCUGGGAGCCGCGCGGUUAGCUGCUGGCGAGCCUUGUCUGGGUGGACUGCGCCCCGGUGGUCGUCCGGCACACCUUGGGGCCUCGGGUGGGGCCCACAUGCCAGAUUGCUGUGUAAAGAAAUCCUGAAUUUCCUACUAGAGGAUGAAAUACUUGUGGAGCCAGAGACAAGCCAUCCUAGCUCUGAUCUCCUUAGACCACAAGCCUGCCAGCCCUCAGACAUAGGGAGAGAGAUCGCAAGUAGGCAGAGCAGCAGGCAGAGAGAGAGCGGGAAGCAGGCUCCCCGUCAAGCAGAGAACCUGAUGUGGGUCUUGAUCCCAGGACCCUGAGAUCAUGACCUGGGCUGAAGGCAGAGGCUUAACCCACUAAGCCACCCAGGAACCCCAGGUAUGAAGUCAUGGUGCUUAGAGAUACUUCACCUAUCCUGUGAAUAAUAAAUGACAAAACAUACAUAUAAAAACAUGGCAGUCUGACAGAUGGAAAAAGCCCUCAGGAUGCAGUGGACCUUUGAAAGUCUGGGACAGAACAAUAUGUUCUAGAUUCUGAAUGGAAAACUCAGCAUGGAAACUAUGAAGGGCAUCUCUUGGAAGGGAAAACCUGAAUCUGCAGCUCUAACUCACCCACCAAGUGCUCCCUCUGAAAUGUCUCCCUGUGAGCUUAGAGACCUCUUUCAUUGCAGUAGCACAUUUUAUACAUUUAAGCAUUGUCUUCAGUAACUGGAUUUAUUUCUAUUAUUAAAGAAUGACAUUGCUUU